GUAUCCUAGAUUAUUCUAAACUUGGGUAUGCAUGCAUGAUUGCAGGGAACAGUGAAUAGAAAUGCAAAUAUAACUAUGGGAGUAGAAAUGUAGGAUGUUGUCAUGUUGAUGUGUUGUCUAAGCCCUAUUGAUUUUUGUAAUUGCAAUGUUGGUAGUUUGUUAAUACUUUAAGGAAAUUGAACAUAUAGGAAAAUUGAAAAUUUCCCAAAAAUAAAUAAAAAUAAACAAAAGUAAAAUAAACAAAAAAAAAAAAAGUAAAGGACCCAUUUUGAACCCAUGAACUUGUUGUACGAGGAAGUAUUAAUGCAGUUUUGUUAUGCAUUUGCAAAUACAUAACAAAUAUAAAAAUAUUAAAAAGUACGUGAAAGAGAGAGAAAGGAGCACUACUACAACUGUUGCAAAAUCCAACGGUCAAAACAACAACGUUUCAACAAGGAAUCGUUGUAUUAAAUAGUUUUAAAAUUAUACUGUAAUAUAUGACAACUCUCCUUCUUAAACCAUUGUUAUAAGUAGAUAUCUUUAAUAACGGAUUAUGAAUAAGACAACGUUUUAUAUUUAACCGGUGUUAAAAGGAAUAAAAUUUUAAUAAUGGCCCAUUGGUAAGUGUUGUUAAAGGGCCUUAGUAGCUUGACUAGCUUCUAGUAAAAUUUCAAUAAACUUUUUUCACUAUGAUUAAAAAAAAAAAAAAAAAAAAAAAAAAAAAAGGGUCUCCAAUAAAACCAAUCACAAUAGAAUUUGGCGGGCUCUCUACUUCUUUGCUUCCACUCUCCUUGUUUCUAUCACGAUCAUAUAUAGAAGAAAAGAAGAAAAAAAAAUCAAAAAAUCAAAUCUCACUUUUCUCUUUCCUCGUUCUGGUUUGCAAGACGUCUUUCUGGAGGUUGAGAUUACGAUUUGUGGAAUACAUAUCAGAAAAUUUAUCUGCGGACUUCGUAUUUUUCAGAUUUUUUGUAGCCCAACUACAACACGGAAGAAAUUGAUGAAGUCAAAACUGAGUUGGCACGCCACUUUCUCACUUUGCUAGUUGAUUUAGGAAGUUACAACCAAUUGGUAGACAAAUCAAUAUGUAUAUAAUGUUUCUUAGAUAUCGUUAAAGUGAAGAUUAUGGCUGGUUUUACAAUAUGCGUACGUAGUUUCUGUUUUUCUAUUGUAAUUUGCAAUGGAAAUCGUGAAAUUUAUUGGUUUUUAUUUUAUAUAUAUAUAAAAAUAUCCAUUUGGUUGCGUAA